rnacentral:rRNA from 1 species
UUUAUAUUUAUAAUUAUAAAUAAUACCUGCUCCAUGAAUUUAUAAUAAAUAGCCGCAAUUUUCUGUGCUAAGGUAGCAUAAUCAUUUGUUUUUUAAUUUUAAACUAGAAUGAAAGGUGUUACAUUUAAUUAUUGUAUUUCUUAUAACUAUUUAAUUUAUUUUAAAUAUAAAAAAAUAUUUAUAAACUAAAAAGACGACAAGACCCUAUUGAACUUUACUUAAGUUUAGCUGGGGCAGCUAAAUAAAAUCCACUUUAUUUAUUUAAUUCUAAUAAAAAUUAACCCAAUAAAAUUGAUUAUCUAAUCAAGUUACCAUAGGGAUAACAGCGUAAUAUUUUUAAAAAGUUCUUAUUUAUAAAAAAAAUUUACGACCUCGAUGUUGAAUUAUUAUCUCUUAUAAUCCUAAUGCAAAAAUUAAAAAAGUAAGUCUGUUCGACUUUUAAAAUAAUACA